rnacentral:ncRNA from 1 species
AAAGUCCCGAACCGGUAAGGCAGACCCGCCACCGGAACCGAGUGUUGCGUGGGCCAUGGGCGACCUAGUCUGCGAAGCGUACACAGGGGGCGUGCAGGCCGUGUGAUUGAGCCUCGAAAUUCCCGAAACGUGGGGCCGACGUCAUCUGAGGUGCGGAAGGCAACAGAGUGCAGACCGAGAGGGUCGGGUCUGCACUCCCCGCCGGGGUCUGAGAGCA